rnacentral:rRNA from 2 species
CAUGCAAGUCGAGCGGCAGCGGGAAAGUAGCUUGCUACUUUUGCCGGCGAGCGGCGGACGGGUGAGUAAUGCCUGGGAAAUUGCCCAGUCGAGGGGGAUAACAUUUGGAAACGACUGCUAAUACCCCAUACCCCCUACGGGGGAAAGCAGGGGACCUUCGGGCCUUGCGCGAUUGGAUAUGCCCAGGUGGGAUUAGCUAGUUGGUGAGGUAAUGGCUCACCAAGGCGACGAUCCCUAGCUGGUCUGAGAGGAUGAUCAGCCACACUGGAACUGAGACACGGUCCAGACUCCUACGGGAGGCAGCAGUGGGGAAUAUUGCACAAUGGGGGAAACCCUGGUGCAGCCAUGCCGCGUGUGUGAAGAAGGCCUUCGGGUUGUAAAGCACUUUCAGCCAGGAGGAAAGGUUGGCGCCUAAUACGUGUCAACUGUGACGUUACU